AGAACGAACGCUGGCGGCAUGCCUAACACAUGCAAGUCGAACGAGACCUUCGGGUCUAGUGGCGCACGGGUGCGUAACGCGUGGGAAUCUGCCCUUGGGUUCGGAAUAACAGUUGGAAACGACUGCUAAUACCGGAUGAUGUCUUCGGACCAAAGAUUUAUCGCCCAGGGAUGAGCCCGCGUAGGAUUAGCUUGUUGGUGAGGUAAAGGCUCACCAAGGCGACGAUCCUUAGCUGGUCUGAGAGGAUGAUCAGCCACACUGGGACUGAGACACGGCCCAGACUCCUACGGGAGCAGCGAGUGGGGAAUAUUGGACAA
rnacentral:rRNA from 1 species